rnacentral:rRNA from 1 species
UACGGAGGGUGCGAGCGUUACCCGGAUUUACUGGGUGUAAAGGGCGUGUCGGCGGUCUCUCAAGUCCGAUGCUAAAGACCGAAGCUCAACUUCGGGGGUGCGUUGGAUACUGUGAGGCUAGACGGCCGGAGAGGGUAGCGGAAUUUCCGGAGUAGCGGUGAAAUGCGCAGAUACCGGAAGGAACGCCAAUAGCGAAGGCAGCUACCUGGACGAUUGGUGACGCUGAGGCGCGAAAGCGUGGGGAGCAAACCGG